rnacentral:rRNA from 1 species
UCGAUGAAGAACGCAGCGAAAUGCGAUAAGGUAAUGUGAAUUGCAGAAUUCAGUGAAUCAUCGAAUCUUUGAACGCAACUUGCGCCCUCUGGUAUUCUGGAGGGCAUGCCUGUUUGAGUGUCAUGUAGACUCAACCCCUCGGGUUUCCGAGUAGGUUGGAUUUGGGUGUUGCCUGUCUCUGGCUCGCCUUAAAGAACUUAGUGGAGAUAGCAUCCUAGUCGACGUAAUAAGUUUCGUCGGUGAUGGUGUGAAGUCUGCUCAUAACUGCCCUUGGGCACUUUUUGACUCCGACCUCAAAUCAGGUAGGACUACCCGCUGAACUUAA